GACGAACCGUGCGACCGUUGUUCGGAAUCACUGGGCUUAAAGGGCGCGUAGGCGGCUUGCCAAGUCAGUGGUGAAAUCCCACAGCUUAACUGUGGAAGUGCCUUUGAUACUGGCGAGCUCGAGGGAGGUAGGGGUAUGUGGAACUUCUGGUGGAGCGGUGAAAUGCGUUGAUAUCAGAAGGAACGCCGGUGGCGAAAGCGACGUACUGGACCUCUUCUGACGCUGAGGAGCGAAAGCCAGGGGAGCAAACGGG
rnacentral:rRNA from 1 species